CCAGACUCCUACGGGAGGCAGCAGUGAGGAAUAUUGGUCAAUGGGCGGAAGCCUGAACCAGCCAAGUCGCGUGAGGGAAGAAGGCCCUGCGGGUCGCAGACCUCUUUGGACGGGGAGCAAGGCCGCCGACGUGUCGGCGGAAGGAGAGUACCCGUAGAACAAGCAUCGGCUAACUCCGUGCCAGCAGCUGCGGUAAUACGGAGGAUGCGAGCGUUAUCCGGAUUUAUUGGGUUUAAAGGGUGCGCAGGCGGCACGGCAAGCCGGCGGUCAAAUCGCGGGGCUCAACCCCGCCCAGCCGUCGGAACUGCCGGGCUAGAGUGGGCGAGAAGUGCGCGGAAUGCGUGGUGUAGCGGUGAAAUGCAUAGAUAUCACGCAGAACCCCGAUUGCGAAGGCAGCAUGCCGGCUUCCGACUGACGCUGCAGCACGAAAGCGUGGGGAUCGAACAGGAUUAGAUACCCUUGUAUC
rnacentral:rRNA from 1 species